GUUACUUAUAGCAAUGGAUGCACAAGCACAGAAGAGGGUGCCUUCGGGGCAGCAGUCACAUAUAUCUCAUGUGACCACCGCCAUCUUGCUUGCUUGCACAAGACAGCCACCGACAUCUGCUGUUUACAGACAACGAGGACAGCGAGGACAACUGAACUGGGGUGUUGUGGUUGUUCUGUCAAACAUAAGAAAACAGAGGCAUCGCACGUAGAUAUCUUCCGAUGGAGCUAGCAACAUGGCACUCCUCCAGUGACAUCAUCAGAGGUUACAUAUACAGUACUUCGUUAUGUUAUAAAUUGC